rnacentral:rRNA from 11 species
UUCUGGGAUUUCUGAGCCCCAAAAGCAUCAGAUCCCAUCUUAUCUUGGAAGCAAAGUGGGGUUAGCUCUGGUUAGCACUUGUAUGGCAGACUACCAAUGAAUAUCAGCUGCUAUAGGCU